CUCAAAAUGAAGUCAGAUUAUUGUACCAUUCAGCGUUACAUAGAAAUGUCUACCACAAAAUUAAUUCGGGAGGCAUGUUGGUUUGAAGUAUGGGUUCUCGUAGGACUACAUAUAAAAGCAAACAGGAGAAAGGAAAGCCUCAUGCGGAGAAAAUGGCAUAAAAUGGAGUGUACUGCAGUGUUGAUAGGAUGAGGCUUGGGCUUUAUUAAUGAUAUAAGCUGCUGGCCCGUGCUUUGGUCAAAUCAGACACCUGCUAUGGCUGCCACACUCCAAGAAUGGUGACAUCACAGGGAGCAGGACAAGUCAGAUCCGCUGUUAAUCGCUCGCCUUAAUUGAGUGCUCUGCUGAGUUCAAAAUUGCUCAGCACAAUCAAGACUCAUUUAAGAGUCCCACCAUGUGCUCUUAGGCCAUGAUGAGAUAUUGCCUUCAAUGCCUGUUGUUUCUGCAUAUCAGCCUUCCUUUCAAUACACCCCCUACAUAUUUGCCUUUUUUACUCCUACCCUUCAGGUUGCUGUUUUUACUGGCUUUGGUUUUCUCUAAUUUCCCUGAAUUCCAGGUGGGGGAGGAAGCUAUUGUUUUCGAACAUCCUGGUCCUGCUCCUCAUUUAUUAAUCACUAAUUCCAACUUGGCAGAAAGUAUAGACCAAAAGGUGCACGAGUCAAGUAUGUCACAUGCUUUUCCUGUCCAGGUAUUCCGAUGGUGCAACUACCUGGGGAGCGGGCCAACCCUGUCAUUUAGCAGUAAGUUUAUCCUGUGGUGGGAUAGAGAAACUGUGGGGAUAAAGGCAGCAGGCCUAUCCCAUGACUAGGCUGGCGGAGGUGGGUGGAAAGCCUACCCCACAGCUGGGACAAGCCAGGUAAGGAUCACUUACAAGCUGCAGGGUUGGGAGCAUCAUUGUGGCACCGAACUGCCCACAGUAUUUACAGCCCCCCAUACACACUUCAACAGUCUCAGGUUCAGCCUGCUAUGAUGGAGCAGAUAAUAUGCCUCCAGAGGAACCAUCUGGAAAACUGAGCCACCACUCUCCUGUUGCUGCCCCAACGUAAAUUCUCAUGCACCUGUCUGCGUACCAGACGCCUUUCUCUCUGUUUUUUUUUCCCUCUCAAUAAUGGGGCAUGUUGUCACAAUUAUUGCCAGUAAUAAACUCAACUGAAUUUAAUAAACUCA
ensembl:lncRNA